rnacentral:piRNA from 1 species
UGUACCCGGAUGCUGGGCUGUACAUACC